UACAGAGGGCGCGAGCGUUAAUCGGAAUUACUGGGCGUAAAGCGCACGUAGGUGGCGACGUAAGUCGGGUGUGAAAGCCCCGGGCUCAACCUGGGAAUUGCAUUCGAGACUGCAUUGCUGGAGUACGGACGAGGAGGGCGGAAUUCCCGGUGUAGUGGUGAAAUGCGUAGAUAUCGGGAGGAACAUCAGUGGCGAAGGCGGCCCUCUGGUCCAGUACUGACACUCAAGUGCGAAAGCGUGGGGAGCAAACAGG
rnacentral:rRNA from 1 species